rnacentral:rRNA from 2 species
AGAGUUUGAUCAUGGCUCAGAUUGAACGCUGGCGGCAGGCCUAACACAUGCAAGUCGAGCGGUAGCACAGAGAGCUUGCUCUCGGGUGACGAGCGGCGGACGGGUGAGUAAUGUCUGGGAAACUGCCUGAUGGAGGGGGAUAACUACUGGAAACGGUAGCUAAUACCGCAUAACGUCGCAAGACCAAAGUGGGGGACCUUCGGGCCUCAUGCCAUCAGAUGUGCCCAGAUGGGAUUAGCUAGUAGGUGGGGUAAUGGCUCACCUAGGCGACGAUCCCUAGCUGGUCUGAGAGGAUGACCAGCCACACUGGAACUGAGACACGGUCCAGACUCCUACGGGAGGCAGCAGUGGGGAAUAUUGCACAAUGGGCGCAAGCCUGAUGCAGCCAUGCCGCGUGUGUGAAGAAGGCCUUCGGGUUGUAAAGCACUUUCAGCGGGGAGGAAGGCGAUAAGGUUAAUAACCUUGUCGAUUGACGUUACCCGCAGAAGAAGCACCGGCUAACUCCGUGCCAGCAGCCGCGGUAAUACGGAGGGUGCAAGCGUUAAUCGGAAUUACUGGGCGUAAAGCGCACGCAGGCGGUCUGUCAAGUCGGAUGUGAAAUCCCCGGGCUCAACCUGGGAACUGCAUUCGAAACUGGCAGGCUAGAGUCUUGUAGAGGGGGGUAGAAUUCCAGGUGUAGCGGUGAAAUGCGUAGAGAUCUGGAGGAAUACCGGUGGCGAAGGCGGCCCCCUGGACAAAGACUGACGCUCAGGUGCGAAAGCGUGGGGAGCAAACAGGAUUAGAUACCCUGGUAGUCCACGCCGUAAACGAUGUCGAUUUGGAGGUUGUGCCCUUGAGGCGUGGCUUCCGGAGCUAACGCGUUAAAUCGACCGCCUGGGGAGUACGGCCGCAAGGUUAAAACUCAAAUGAAUUGACGGGGGCCCGCACAAGCGGUGGAGCAUGUGGUUUAAUUCGAUGCAACGCGAAGAACCUUACCUGGUCUUGACAUCCACAGAACUUAGCAGAGAUGCUUUGGUGCCUUCGGGAACUGUGAGACAGGUGCUGCAUGGCUGUCGUCAGCUCGUGUUGUGAAAUGUUGGGUUAAGUCCCGCAACGAGCGCAACCCUUAUCCUUUGUUGCCAGCGGUCCGGCCGGGAACUCAAAGGAGACUGCCAGUGAUAAACUGGAGGAAGGUGGGGAUGACGUCAAGUCAUCAUGGCCCUUACGACCAGGGCUACACACGUGCUACAAUGGCAUAUACAAAGAGAAGCGACCUCGCGAGAGCAAGCGGACCUCAUAAAGUAUGUCGUAGUCCGGAUUGGAGUCUGCAACUCGACUCCAUGAAGUCGGAAUCGCUAGUAAUCGUAGAUCAGAAUGCUACGGUGAAUACGUUCCCGGGCCUUGUACACACCGCCCGUCACACCAUGGGAGUGGGUUGCAAAAGAAGUAGGUAGCUUAACCUUCGGGAGGGCGCUUACCACUUUGUGAUUCAUGACUGGGGUGAAGUCGUAACAAGGUAACCGUAGGGGAACCUGCGGUUGGAUCACCU